rnacentral:rRNA from 1 species
AUGAGUUCGUAUCUGGUCCGGUGCCCAGCGAGGGUGAGGAUGUUCGAGACUACAACCCAUGGACUUUUGGAAAAUAUUAUCACACCCAUAUCAAUUUUCUGGCAAUGUGCAAAGCCCGCCCAUAUGAUCCUCCAACGCUCUUCUUUGCUGAAUGUGGAAAACAUGAUGCUGACAUGUUGGUGUGUCCCCGUGAUUCCGCAGAAACCAGAAGCUAAACAAGUCCGUUGCAUUUACUGCGAGUUUGAAGGAAACCGAAUUGAUCAUCCAGCCGUGGAGAGUUUCUUCGGGCACAAUGAAUUUGAGAAGUUUUAUGAAUCAGGCACAUCUUAUACCAACAAUAAGCUCAUCAUACGUUGUGAAAACGUAGAUUGGGUGCAUGGUGUGGAGGAUGAUGGCAUAUACCACCACUGCUACCCUGAUCCUGAUGAUAUUGAUGACGAAGAACUAUCUAUUUGCUGA